CYUCUCGUGUGUUUUUWYGAGGUAUGGCCUGCCCGCUGAUUUUUUUUGAAGGGCCGCGGUAUCUUGACCGUGCAAAGGUAGCAUAAUCAUUAGUCUUUUAAUUGUGGGCUGGAAUGAAUGGUUUGACGAGAUAUAAUCUGUCUCUUUUUGAUUUAUUGAAUUUUGGUUUUAGGUAAGAAUACCUAAAUUUUUUUAUGGGACGAGAAGACCCUAUAGAGUUUUAUAUUUAUGAUGAUUUUUUUGUUGGUUUUUCUUUAUAUUGUUUUUUUUAUUUUGCUGGGGCGGCUAGGAGAUUUAUUUAACUCUUCUUUUAUUUUUUUAUUUAUUUAUAUUUUUUUGAUCCUUUAUUAUUGAUUUUAAGAUUAAAUUACCUUAGGGAUAACAGCGUAAUCUUUCUUGAAAGUUCUUAUUGACAGGGGGGUUUGCGA
rnacentral:rRNA from 1 species